GUGAAAUUCAUUUUAAUGGUCAUUCCUCACUUUUAGAUCGUUGUUUUCUUAGGUAGUGUGUCGCGCUGGAUAUCUGCUAUCUUACUAAAGCAUAAUUGAGUGUGUUUUAAAGUGGUUUGAGUGAAUAAAUUGUCUUUAAAAUGAAAUAGUGAAAGGAACCGCACAGCAGACCAACUUGCAAGUCCAGAGCUCAAUAGUGGAGCAGCUGCGCCGCGAAGCAAGCAUCAAGCGCACUCCUGUCUCCGAGGCUGUGGAGGACAUCAAGCAGUUCAUCCUCCAGCAUGAGCAGGAAGACUACCUCCUGAUUGGGUUCUCCUCCCAGAAGAACAACCCCUUCAGGGAAAAGUCCUCCUGCGACAUUCUCUAAAUCAAAAGUGCAGUUG
rnacentral:lncRNA from 1 species